rnacentral:rRNA from 1 species
ACGGGUGAGUAAUAUAUCGGAACAUACCCUAGAGUGGGGGAUAACGUAGCGAAAGUUACGCUAAUACCGCAUACGCACUAAGGUGGAAAGUGGGGGAUCGCAAGACCUCAUGCUCAUGGAGUGGCCGAUAUCUGAUUAGCUAGUUGGUGAGGUAAAGGCUCACCAAGGCGACGAUCAGUAGCUGGUCUGAGAGGACGACCAGCCACACUGGAACUGAGACACGGUCCAGACUCCUACGGGAGGCAGCAGUGGGGAAUUUUGGACAAUGGGGGCAACCCUGAUCCAGCAAUGCCGCGUGAGUGAAGAAGGCCUUCGGGUUGUAAAGCUCUUUUGUCAGGAAGAAACGGUGAUCUCUAAUAUAGAUUGCUAAUGACGGUACCUGAAGAAUAAGCACCGGCUAACUACGUGCCAGCAGCCGCGGUAAUACGUAGGUGCAAGCGUUAAUCGGAAUUACUGGGCGUAAAGCGUGCGCAGCGGUUAUAUAAGUCAGAUGUGAAAUCCCCGGGCUCAACCUGGGAACUGCAUUUGAGACUGUAUGCUAGAGUGUGUCAGAGGGGGUAGAAUUCCACGUGUAGCAGUGAAUGCGUAGAUAUGUGGAGGAAUACCGAUGGCGAAGCAGCCCCUGGGAUAACACUGACGCUCAUGCACGAAAGCCUUGGGGAGCAAACAGAAUAGAUACCCUGGUAGUCCACGCCCUUAAACGAAAGUCUACUAAAUUGUCCGGUCUUAAAUUGACUUGGUAACGCAGCCUAAACCCGUGAAGUAAACCGCCUUGGGGAG